rnacentral:misc_RNA from 1 species
AUGCUAAUUUCUCCGUCUCAAUUAAUAUUUAUUUUGACCCUUAUUUCAGGAACAAUUUUAUCUAUUUCUUCUACUUCAUGAUUUGGGGCAUGAGCAGGCUUAGAAUUAAAUCUUUUAUCUUUUAUCCCUUUAAUUAUUACAAAAAAUAAUCAAUAUUCUUCUGAGUCUGCACUUAAAUACUUUCUUGUCCAAGCUUUAGGAUCUGCUAUUAUUAUUUUUUCAGCCUCAAUUAUAUUAAUUUCCCCCAGUUUUGCACCGCUUUGUCUAGCCCUUGCUCUUCUUCUCAAACUAGGAGCAGCUCCAUUUCAUUUUUGGUUCCCUCAAGUUAUAGAAGGAAUAAAUUGAAUCCAAUCUAUUGUGCUCAUAACCAUUCAAAAAAUUGCUCCUAUACUUCUGCUCUCAUACCUUACUUUUAACUAUUUAGUCACAACUAUUUUGUUUUAUGCAAUUAUUCUUUCAGCAAUCAUUGGAGCAGUUGGUGGUAUUAAUCAAACUUUACUUCGAAAAAUUAUAGCUUUUUCUUCUAUUAACCACAUAGCAUGAAUACUUUCUGCUAUUUUAAUUAGUGAAAAUAUAUGAACAAUAUAUUUUCUUUUUUACUCUUUAAUAUCUUCUUCAGUAGCAUUAAUCUUUCACUUCCAGCAGAUUUUUCAUUUUUCCCAAAUUACUUCCAAUAAUGCUUCCCCAUUACCUAAUAAAAUUCUUAUACUUUUAUCUUUGCUUUCUCUAGGAGGUCUACCUCCUUUCACUGGUUUUUUCCCUAAAUGAAUUUUAAUUCAAGAAAUAACUUCUAGUUAUUUCUUCAUACCCUUAUUAGUUCUUCUGGCAUCUACUUUGAUUUCCCUAUAUUACUAUUUGCGAAUCUCAAUUUCGGCAUUUGUUCUUUUUUCACCAAAAUUGAAAUGAUCCUCUCCACAUCGAAGACAAAGACUUUUCACCCCUUUAAUGGCAUUUAUCAAUCUUUUUGGACUUUUUAUCCCAUCAGUUUUUAUUAUAUUCU